rnacentral:rRNA from 1 species
UACGAAGGGGGCUAGCGUUGCUCGGAAUUACUGGGCGUAAAGGGCGCGUAGGCGGUUUAGACAGUCGGAUGUGAAAUCCCGGGGCUCAACCCCGGAACUGCCCUUGAAACUGGAGAGCUAGAAUCUUGGAGAGGCGAGUGGAAUUCCGAGUGUAGAGGUGAAAUUCGUAGAUAUUCGGAAGAACACCAGUGGCGAAGGCGACUCGCUGGACAAGUAUUGACGCUGAGGUGCGAAAGCGUGGGGAGCAAACAGG